rnacentral:rRNA from 1 species
UUGAGCCAGUGUUACGCCAUUUGGUGGAUUGCUCGGCUCGGGCGCCGAAGAAGGUCGUGCCAAGCUGCGAUAUGCUCCGGGAAGGCGCAAGGAGCCUUUGAACCGGAGAUCGCCGAAUAGGACUUCCUGCCAUGGUAAACCCAUGGCGGUCCCAUUAGGGAUCGGGAACCCGCCGGAUUGAAACAUCUUAGUAGGCGGAGGAAAAGAAAUCAAAUAGAGAUUGGGUUAGUAAAGGCGAUCGAACACCCAACAGAGCAAACCGAAUCCUCAAGCGAAGAGUUUGAGGAGAUGUGGAGUUUGGACUCAUUUACUUCCUAACUGACGAACUCGAAGUCCCCUGGAACGGGGCGCCUGAGAGGGUGAUAGCCCCGUAGAGGUAAGUCAGUGGAAGAUUUUUGAGUAUCCAGAGUAGCGUGCGUUGGAUAUCGCGCGUGAAGAUGGGAGGUACAAACUUCCAACUCUAAAUACGUCCCGAGACCGAUAGCGCAGUAGUAGCGUGAGCGAAAGCUGCAAAGUACCCCUAGCGGGAGGUGCAAAGAGCAUGAAACCAAAUGGUUACAGACUGAUAAGGCGUGGAAGCGACGAAACCACUUCUGUGGUGGAGCAGCGUCUUAUCGUCCGUUUCGAAUAACGGGCCAGGGAGUUCUUGGUAAUGGCGAGGCUAAGAGCGAAGAGCUCGGAGCCGUAGCGAAAGCAACGGUCCGCAGGCAACGAGGGACGGGGUGUGCUCGCCCGGAGUCAUUACCAAGAGACCCGAAGCCGGUCGAUCUAUGCGUGGCCAGGUUGAAGCCUAGCGAAAGCUGGGUGGAGGACCGAACCGGUGCUGAUGUGCAAAUCGUUCGGAUGAGCUGCGUAUAGGGGCAAAAGACCAAUCUAGACCGGCGAUAGCUGGUUCCCCCCGAGACUGCCCGCAGGCAGACCUCUGAGGAGAUUGGUCGUGCGGUAGAGCACUGAUUGGGUGUUUAGGGGGAGAAAUCCCUCGGCAUCCUGUCAAACUCCGAAUGUGCGACCAUCGUAGAAUCAGGGAGUGAGGGCACCUGGGGUAAGCUUGGUGUCCGAAAGGGGAACAACCCAGCCUUACGUUAAGGUCCCUAAGUACCAGCUAAGUGUUAAAGAACAAAGAGUGUGCGUAGCCUAAGACAGCCAGGAGGUUGGCUUAGAAGCAGCCAUCCUUUAAAGAAAGCGUAACAGCUCACUGGUCGAGGCUACGUGCCUCGAAAAUGGACGGGGCUAAGCUGGUCACCGAUACGUAAGCACUCCGAAAGGAGAUUGAGUAGGGGGGCGUCGUGCGUGGGUGGAAGCACGGCCGUGAGGUCGUGUGGACCGCGUUCGAACGAGGAUCCUGGCAAAAGUAGCAGCAAAGUCGGGUGAGAAUCCCGACCACCGAAGGGGCUAGGGUUCCACGGCGAUGUUCAUCAGCCGUGGGUUAGUCGGUCCUAAGGCCUGUCUUAACCGAACAGGUCGAAAGGGAAGCAGGUUAAUAUUCCUGCACUUCGUAGAGAUUUGCCAACGCUCUGACGCAUUUGGGUAGGUCUAGCAGGUUCGUCUGCCUGUCCAAGCGUAUUAAGUCAGGGGAGAACCGUCAUGGUGAGAACCUGAUCAAAGCGUGAUGGGCCUGCCGUUUUUUAGGCGGGUUAGGCUGAUCCCAAGUGCCCAGGAAAAGGAGCGUUGGAUGUACUCUACGAAACCGUACCGAGAACUGACACAGGUGCCCCUAGCCGAGAAGGCUAAGGUGUGUCGGCUUUAAUCCAGGCGAGGGAACUCGGCAAAUUAGCCCCGUAACUUUGGGAGAAGGGGUGCCUGCUCCGCGAAAGAGCAGGUCGCAGUGACAAGGGGGCUCCGACUGUUUAAUAAAAACACAGGUGACCGCAAGUCCGAAAGGAUGUGUAUGGUCACCGAAUCCUGCCCAGUGGCGGUAUCUGAAAGCCGGGUUCAACCGGACGAAGGACCGCUAAACGGCGGGGGUAACUCUGACCCUCUUAAGGUAGCGUAAUACCUAGCCGCUUAAUUGGCGGCUUGCAUGAGUGGCCCAACGAGAGCCCUACUGUCCCCGCCUGGAGCCCGGUGAAAUUGACUUACUGGCGCACAGUCCAGUACCGUCCAGAAGGAAGCGAAGACCCCGUGGAGCUUUACUGCAGCCUGCCGUUGUGAUACGGUAUUGGAUGUGAAGCGUAGAUGGGAGCCGUCGAAGCUGGGGCGCUAGCUCCAGUGGAGGCGCCAAUGGGACACCAUCCUUCCUUUACCGCAUCACUAACUCGAAAGAGGACACCGGUAGGUGGGCAGUUUGGGUGGGGCGCCACGCCCUCGAAAAGGUAUCAAGGGCGCCCAAAGGUCGCCUCAGGGAGGUCAGAAAUCUCCCGUAGAGUGCAAGGGCAAAAGGCGGCCUUACAUGGAUUGGAACAACAACAAUCCAUGUUGCGAAAGCAAGGCCUAGCGAACCAAUCAACCCUAUUUGUAGGGGUGGUUGAUAACAGAAAAGUUACCCCGGGGAUAACUGAGUUGUCUCCUGCAAGAGCCCACAUCGACCAGGAGGCUUGCUACUUCGAUGUCGUCUCUCCCUAUCCUGGCGGUGCAGCAGCUGCCAAGGGUGGGGCUGUUCGCCCAU